UACAGAGGGUGCAAGCGUUGCUCGGAAUCAUUGGGCGUAAAGGGCACGUAGGUGGUCUGAUUUGUCUGGCGGUGAAAUCCUUGAGCUUAACUCAAGAAGUGCCCCGGAAACGGUCAGACUUAUGAGUCUUGGAGAGGGUUGCGGAAUUCCCGGUGUAGCGGUGAAAUGCGUAGAGAUCGGGAGGAACACCAGAGGCGAAGGCGGCAACCUGGACAAGCACUGACACUCAACUGCGAAAGCGUGGGGAGCAAACAGG
rnacentral:rRNA from 1 species